UAAAGACAGAUUUAAAGAUUUAACUGAUAGUAUACUGACAGGAAAAGAAACAGCAAUCUUUCAUUAAAAGCAAAUAUUUCAGAAACUUUAAAAGGGCAAUGUAUGCAUGUUGUUAUUUAUUUUCCAUUUUAUGGCCACUCUUAUAUGGCUAGGCAAAACAAUAAUGAUAUCAAUAUCAAUAGAAAUUAAAGCUGCAAGCAGCAUUGGCGGCCAUCACAGCUCAGUGCCACGGUUAUCUAUGCUUAGUGGAUAUGGUUUUAAUAUUGCAUCACAUAGAGGGAGAAGCAGGAUGAAUGACCCAACAAUCUUCAGUAUUUUCUCAGAGUGGGCAGUGUUUAGUGAUGUCAUUAAUGUGCUCCCUGAUGAUGCCCAAAAAAAUCAGCUACCAGCCAGUGUUGACAGAAGGAUUUAGUUUUAUGUUGUUCUGUCAUUAAAUACAUGUCCAAAUCUAUAUGAAUCAUAGAGUAAAAGGAAGAGAACUGGCAAGAAAACAGGUGACUUCCUGUUCAAAAGAGGCAGGGCCAAGGUGAUGCCAUCAGUGUUGGUCAGUAAUGAGAGAUAAAAGUGUGAUAAACCUGUGACCUUGUGUGUGGAAGUUAUUGGUGUUUACAUGGUGAAUUGGCAGAUUUUGGGACUUGGCCACGCCCACAUGCUUUCAUAUACGAAAAAGAUUUUGAUAACUAUUGACCUACAAUGCCUCAAGACUGAAAGACACACUGGAGAGUGCAUGUGUGAGUAAUUCUGAAAUCUGCAUCUUAUAACUUGUAGGAGGAGUUCGCUCAGAUACAAUGUAUACAAAAAAUACAGAAUAACUGCUUUGACCCAAAAUGGCCGACUUCCUGUUGGGUUUGGGCCACGUCUCCAAGAAACUUUUUUUUAGGUCCUGUCAAGAUACAUGUGUACCGAAUUUUAUGAUUGUUGGUCAAAGAAUGGCUUGGGCCUGAUUUUUUUUAAAAGAUUUUUAGAGGGGGCUAUGGAUAAAUUGGGCCAUGCCCACAUAUUGGAUUGCAGUCUUGUUGGGGUGUGGACUAGGAUCAAUCAUAUGCCCCUUUUCCACUGGUUCUACUUCGGUAGUCCCGCUCUACUCUGCCCGGCCUCACUCCACUCUACGAAAUUCCACUGACCCGGCUAGAUCUGUAGCAGGGUGACACCUGCUGGCGGUAGGGGGUAUAGCGCCCCGCCUCCAGGUGGACAACACCAUGUGCUGUGUUUCCUUACUAUGCAGCAUAAGGCGUGUUGUUGUUUUUCCGAGUCAAAAGAAGAAGAGAGAGUUGAGCUAUUGCUUUGUAGCCUGAUUGUGAUUUUUCUUAGAUUUCAAGAAAAGGCGCAACAGGAGGAAUGCUGUAAAUGUGGUGAGAAGGACAGCUGAUUUCUACCUUGUAGCUGGAGGAAAGCAGGUGACCCAGACGUUGCAGGAUGUUGGUAAACUAUUGCCGCAGACCAUCGUGGUUCUUUCUGCAGCCUCUGAGUUGUAGGAUGUUUCAUCAGUGUCUGUCUUCCUGACUGUCAGUCGGUGUUUACCUUCAGGAUGUCCAGAGACCUUCACCUUUCUGGAGCAGGAAUCAGAUGAGCUCAAUGUGCUGAUAAAACAUUUGCUAAUUUACAAAAUAUGGCUAGUGUUCUCACAGAGUUUAAAUGCAUUAAUCUGUCUGUUUUUAAUUUCUCAAAUGUUUAAUUAUGAUUCAUCUGAUACUCAAUUUAUAUUGAACAUCAGAUAAUUUGUAACCUUGUAAAACCUUGUAAACCUUGUAAAACUUGUAAGCUUAAUUAAGGUUACAAGUUUUGGAAACAUUUUCUGACUUUCCUACAUUGAAUAUGUUCCAAGAAGACAGCUAAACAGUGAGUGGAUAGAAUUAUGUUGUACGAAGUAGAAAUUAAGAAACAUGACUUGUAUUUUUGGUUCUUGUUAAUAGCAACCCCGACAGUAAUGUCAAAAUGUUUGGUUUGCUGAAUAAUGUGCUCACUUUUAGAUGCCUUUACUGGAAAUCUACCAUAUCAAGUGUCAAUGAAAUACACAUAUAAUGUUGUUAUAUAACGUGUAAUGUACAAACAAUACAAUGUUAUUUCACUCUGUCUAAAGGUACUCACAUUUUUGGGAGGAUUGUAUUAGGACCUUGAUGCCAUACAAACUACAGUAUGUACAUUAAUGUGUGGAGUGGGCAU